rnacentral:rRNA from 1 species
UAAACUAGGAUUAGAUACCCUAUUAUUUUAGAGUGUUAAGUUGUUUGCCUGAGUAGUAUUAGUUAUGUUCUUGAAACUUAAAGAAUUUGGCGGUAUCUCAUUCCGUCCAGAGGAAUCUGUCUCGUUAUCGAUAGUCCACGUUGGACCUUACUUAGUUGCUUUGGUUUGUAUACCGCCGUUUAUUGAUUAUCUUUUUAGGGUUUAAUUAAUUUUCUAGUUUUUUUAUUUCGAGUUAUUUCAGGUCAAGGUGCAGCUUGUUUCUAAGUGAAUGAUGGAUUACAUUGUUAUUUGUUUGUAGAUUAUUGGUUUUAAUAUUGGUAUGAAAUUGGAUUUGGUUGUAAUGAUUUGUAGAUUGUUAUUAUGAUAAGUGGUUCUGGGAUAUGCACACAUCGCCCGUCGCUCUCGUUUUAUUAAUGAGAUAAGUCGUAACAUAGUA